GAGCGGGUACAGGGUCUUCGGAUGCUGACGAGUGGCGAACGGGUGAGUAAUACAUCGGAACGUGCCCAGACGUGGGGGAUAACGAGGCGAAAGCUUUGCUAAUACCGCAUACGAUCUAAGGAUGAAAGCAGGGGACCGCAAGGCCUUGCGCGUUUGGAGCGGCCGAUGGCAGAUUAGGUAGUUGGUGGGAUAAAAGCUUACCAAGCCGACGAUCUGUAGCUGGUCUGAGAGGACGACCAGCCACACUGGGACUGAGACACGGCCCAGACUCCUACGGGAGGCAGCAGUGGGGAAUUUUGGACAAUGGGCGAAAGCCUGAUCCAGCAAUGCCGCGUGCAGGAUGAAGGCCUUCGGGUUGUAAACUGCUUUUGUACGGAACGAAAAGGCUCUGGUUAAUACCUGGGGCACAUGACGGUACCGUAAGAAU
rnacentral:rRNA from 1 species